GUGGGGAAUCUUGCGCAAUGGGCGAAAGCCUGACGCAGCCAUGCCGCGUGAAUGAUGAAGGUCUUAGGAUUGUAAAAUUCUUUCACCGGGGACGAUAAUGACGGUACCCGGAGAAGAAGCCCCGGCUAACUUCGUGCCAGCAGCCGCGGUAAUACGAAGGGGGCUAGCGUUGCUCGGAAUUACUGGGCGUAAAGGGCGCGUAGGCGGACAGUUUAGUCAGAGGUGAAUGCCCAGGGCUCAACCUUGGAAUUGCCUUUGAUACUGGCUGUCUUGAGUACGGGAGAGGUGAGUGGAACUCCGAGUGUAGAGGUGAAAUUCGUAGAUAUUCGGAAGAACACCAGUGGCGAAGGCGACUCACUGGCCCGUUACUGACGCUGAGGCGCGAAAGCGUGGGGAGCAAACAGGAUUAGAUACCCCGGUAGUCC
rnacentral:rRNA from 1 species